AACCAUAUGGUGGCUCACAACCACCCAUAAUGAGAUCUGAUACCCUCUUCUGGUGUGUCUGAGGUCAGCUACAGUAUACUCACAUAUAAUAAUAAAUAAAUCUUUAAAAAAAAAAAGAGAUGCUGUCUCAAAAAAAGUAAAACACGAGUUAGGCAUGGUGGCCUUGAAGAGACAGAGGCAGGGUCUGUGAGUGCUAAGGCACCAUGGGAUCCAUAGCUAUUGCUAGUUCCAGACAAGCCAGAGCUAGUGGGUAAGACCCUAUCUCAAGAUAACAUUUAUACUAAUAGGUGAAGGAUAGAGAGAAACGCUUGACCUCUGGCCUCCACACAUGUGUACACAGGAUCCUCACACAUACAUGAGCACAUGCGCACGCGCGCGCACACACACACACACCACACACUGCACUAUCCCCAAGCCUGGCACGCAUUCAUUAUUCUAGAUUGUCAGCAUUCAUUGACCCCGCACUGCACCUCAGCCAUCCCACCCUAGGACCUCCGUGUUGCCAUCAAUCCUGCAACUUCGUGGUUAUGGACCCAAAACGUGGCCUGGGACCUAUGGGCAAGCUUGCUUCUGCCCUUAGUCCUUUUGUUUUGUUGGCUUGUGUGACCUUGGAGCCCCACAGUGAGAGCAGGCAGCCAGUGCUGUAGAAACUGAGAGGACUUGGGGAGGGGAGACUGUAGACUGGUUAGAACCAGUUCUCCCUGAACUUCUAGAAUAGGGGUUGGGCAUCAGGCAGAGACAGGAAACCAGGAACCUCUCUCUCCCCGUAGUCAAACCUCAGCAGUAACCUGGUCGCAUGGCAUACGUCCUUAAUCCCAACAUGAGGAAACUGAGAUGUCUAGGAGUUCAACACCAGCCUGGUAUACAUAGGGAGUUCCAGGCCAGCCAAGACUGUAUAGAGAGCAGGACCUUGUCUCAAAAAAUCAAAACUCGGGUGGGUGGGUAAGGGGGACUUUUGGUAUAGCAUUGGAAAUGUAAAUGAGCUAAAUACCUAAUAAAAAAAAAUGAAAAAAAAAAAAAAAAAAUCAAAACUCCUGUAGUGAAGAGUCUUACGCAGUGAUUAAGUUUUUAUGCGAUGUCUGUCUCAUGUAGCACAGGCUGGCCUUGAACUUUGUGUGUAAUUGGGGAGAAUGACCUUGAACUUAGGGUCCUCCUGCCUCCAAUUUCUUAGUGAUGGCAUUACAGAUGUGGGCCAAACACAUGGAGUGUGGCUCAGGAGUUUACUUUUGUUACAUAGUGAGUUUGAGACCAGCCUGGGCUAUGUGAGACCCUGUCUUGAG
rnacentral:lncRNA from 1 species